UACGUAGGAGACAAACGUUAUCCGGAGUUACUGGGCGUAAAGGGCGUGUAGGCGGUUAGUUAAGUCUGGCGUGAAAGCUCUCGGCUAAACCGGGAGAGGUCGUUGGAUACUGGCUGACUAGAGGACGGUAGAGGCGUGUGGAAUUCCGGGUGUAGUGGUGAAAUGCGUAGAGAUCCGGAGGAACACCAGUGGCGAAGGCGACACGCUGGGCCGUACCUGACGCUAAAGCGCGACAGCAUGGGGAGCAAACGGG
rnacentral:rRNA from 1 species